GUGAAACAGGUGAUCGCGGCCAUUCAGACGAAAGGGAAUGGGUGAGGAAAGUCCGGGCUUCACAGGGCAGGAUGCCGGAUAACGUCCGGUGGAGGUGACUCCAAGGCCAGUGCAACAGAAAUAAACCGCCAUUUAUAUGGUAAGGGUGGAAAGGCAGUGUAAGAGACUACCGCCCUUAUGGUAACAUAAGGGGCACAUGUAAACCCCAUCCGAAGCAAGACCAAAUAGAAAGCGAUACAGCUGCCCGCUGUGCUUUCAGGUAGGUCGCUUGAGGCUGUUGGUAACAGCAGUCCUAGAUAGAUGAUCAUCCAACGACAUAACCCGGCUUAUCGUUUCGCUCA
rnacentral:RNase_P_RNA from 1 species